rnacentral:lncRNA from 1 species
AAUAAUCCAACCCUAAAAUAAUUGCAUCACUUGUUUGAAACCCCCUUGAGCCUAUUAUCCUUUUAUUUGUUUAAAAACUCAUUACAAGCCGAGAAGUGGAAAAACAAUGUUAUCACCCUAUUCAAAGGGUUGAAAGAGUCUUGUUUGGAGUUGUGUGGGGUUGAAUAAUUAUGUUUGUAAUAUUUCAGAAGUUGGCAGAAAAAGAAGAAAAAAAAUAGAAAAAAAAGGAAUGAAAAAUAGAAGGAUAAGAGGAAGAAAAAUAGAAGGAUAAGAGGAAGAAAAAAAAAGGAAUUAUGUUUGUAAUAUUU